GGCGAAUGGCAUGGUUAUACAGUUGAAAAGCAAGAGAAACACUGGUGCACACAUGAGUAGGAAUGGAACUGUCGGGAAUGGAAAGCAGAGAAGUGAAUACAGUAUACUGUAUGAUUAUGAACAGCAGACUGGCAUAGAAGUCCCAGUCAUUGGUCUAGGGACGCGACAAGAGUAGCUACAAUUAGGUACUGAGAUAGCCCAAGUGGAGCUUGACUUACUGUGCUGUGAACUUGCUAUACCACUGACCCCAAGCCAUGGACACACCUUUUGGAUGGACAUCCUCUGCUCCUGUUGAGGGUCCCGCUCCCGAGGUGCGCCUCUAUGAAGAGGAAGAUUUCCUAUUCUUUUAAUUGAGAAAUGUAAAUAUCCCCGCCGACAACACACGGAGCUUGAUUCACUCCUGAAAGAAACCUAUGUUUGUUUGAAGUGUUUGAAUAACGUUUCUGCCUCUAAAAUCUACUGUGUAUCCUUGCAACUCUGACCCAAACGUGACACGUAUGUGUAUUUCUCUUUUACCAAACAGCAAAUAUUUUAA